rnacentral:ncRNA from 1 species
CACCGCCCGUCACACUAUGGGAGCUGGCCAUGCCUGAAGUCAUUACCUUAACCGCAAGGAGGGGGAUGCCGAAGGCAGGGCUAGUGACUAGAGUGAAGUCAUAACUGCUGGUUCUCGAAUCGAAUUCGGGUG